UUGUCUCGCUUGGUUGGGAGUGAUGGUAAUACAGAGGGUGUAAUGUUGAAUCGGAAUUUCUUGUCUGAAAGCGUACGUAGGUGGUUGUGUACGUUGGAUGGGAAAUCCCAUGGCGUAACUUGGGAAUUGCAUUCAAGACUGCGUUGCUAGAGUGUGGAAGAGGGAAGCGGAAUUCCAGGUGUAGCGGUGAAAUGCGUAGAUAUCUGGAGGAACAUCAGUGGCGAAGGCGGCUUCCUGGUCCAACACUGACACUGAGGUGCGAAAGCGUGGGGAGCAAACAGGAUUAGAUACCCGUGUAGUC
rnacentral:rRNA from 1 species